ensembl:lncRNA
CUUUGUGCCAGGCCUCUGAUAGGUAGAAAGUCCAUGAGGCUCUGCUUUCUCUUGGAACUCCUUUUUGAAUUGCCAUUUCUGGCUGCUUGUACAUGUUAUUCUUAUAUUCAGUCAUGCCUUGACCACUUGUCCACUCAUUUCCUCACAUUUGGCAGUAAGUAUGGUGGGAAGGAAGGAGUGUUUGAAAAAAGUAAAGAGGUAAGGAACUAGAGAGAUAGGGACCUAGUACGGAGGAAGGUUGGUAGUAGUUAUCCAUUUCAGCCAGGGAUUUUUGUCUCUGCAUAUAGGUGUAUUUAGUUGCUUUCUAGUGUUCCUGGAUGUGUCUCUGUAGUUAUGUCUUGCAGCAUCAUUCACUGCAUGAAGGUGCAGCAUGCGUGACCACCAAAGCCUGCAAGGAUGGAGUAGGUAUUCUCAUAGCUGUUGUUCUCCUUCUAGACAGACAACACCCCAGAGGAAGGAAGAUCUGAGCGUGGCCUGCUGCCCCUAGGGCAAUCGAUAUCAGCCUUGAUCCAGCCUUUGGUGUGGACAGAAACUCACAUCCUCUGGGGCAUCCUCCUUUCCAGAAAGCAUCAGAAUCAGACAUUCUGGAGAAGGCCUCACUGUAACCUGAACAAUUCAAGACAGACAACGUCCCCAGAGGAAGGAAGAUCUGAGUGUGGCUUGCUGCUCCUGGGGAAUAAAUGUCAGCCUUGGUGCAGCACCUGGGGUAGCCAAAAACUCACAAUCUUUGGGACAUACCCAUUUCCAGAAAGCUUCAGAGGUCAAAAACUAGAACAAGUUACCGUGCUUUCAAGUGAACAAGUUAUUUUCAAGGAAGGAAAGUGAGCAGCUACACUGCAGGACUGGAAUCAGGACUUCCGCUUCAGAGGAUGGGGUAGCACCUGUGUCUCAACUUCAAUGAGUCUUGAUAACCAUCAGUGAUAUACAUAGGCUUGGAUAUGCUAAUCCAAGCCAAAGGAUGGGCAGGGCCAGACAGAACUGAGACCAUCAUUCAACUCUGAAGGCUGUGCCCUCAGUCACUGUGCACUGCUCACUGACACAUGCCCAUUGCAUUUUCUGUGGUUUGCUGGAGACUGAAAGAUAGCCAGGAUAAUUAUUCCUGUUCUACAGUCCUGUUCAGCUGAAUCUAAGAAUCCCAACUUAAGGGUUGACUUGUAGCAGUAAUUACAAGGUUUUGGCAAACCAGGCAUUCAUCAUGGUGCGUGCUUUACUACAGAAAACACAGCAUUCAGCAAGGAUAGCUCCUUGAUAUGUGAGGGUUUGGCAACAGCAGGAUGACGUAAGACACCUGCUCCCAUCUCCAGCGGGAGAGGAGUGUAGCCACAGCGGCUGACCACGCAGAGGUUAUAGGUUGCCAGAGCACAUCCCGAAAAGUAGGACUGGGGAAGUCACACAGAAAUCUUGCUUCCAAGGACUUGGUCCGUUUCAUCCUUUCCCUUUUAGUAAUUUUCUUUUCACAGGCUGAAAUGACAGAACCAGUUACUCACUUCCUCCAGGAACAAGUUCUUUAGCCACUAAAUAUUCAAAUAUUUUAAAAUAAAACCUUUUGGGGGUAGGAUAACGAGGAGACAAGAGACAGAGGCUAUCUUUGGUGAGAACAGAGACGCUUCAUUGAAUGGCAAGCCGUCAUUUUCAAUCAUUCAGGUGGUGACUGACGAGGUACUGGAAAAAAUAGCGCUCGUCCUUUCAACAAAGUUAUUACACAACUACUAUAUGGGACAGAACAAAGAUAAACAAUCUUCGCCAUGAACCUGCCCACAUGCCACGUUAAUGGUUAUGGGAAAAAAACAAAAAUCCCAGUGACUCCUCAUUGCUCAAUGUGCAUGUACUACCAUGAAGUUGCUAUUAGGUUACAGAGACAUUCUGGAGGUUGAUGAAUUCAUGGGUGAGGGGCUUUUUAAAGUUUUGGCCUUUAAGGUUACUUGAGAAAUAUGAAAUGAUUAAGCACAGCAUGAUGAUGUGGGUGGGGAUGCAGGGAAAGAUGCCUGUAACUGAUGGCAGAAUUGGAAAUGUAGGUGGAACUGAGCUUACAGAGGGCUGCGGAUACCAGGCUUACAGAUUUCCUCAACAGGGAACAAGUUUUGAAGCAAAGGAUAUUUAAAUUAACAAAACUGUGUUCUGGAAGAAUGAGAAAGUUUGGAGAAUACUGUCAAGGUCGAAAGGAAGUAUGAUGAAGGAGAGGGGAAAACAAUUGAUACAAGCUGUGACAAUUGAAGGGUGAGGGAUUCUGAAGACUGAGUCAAGAGGGAUGUUUUUAAGGAACAAUAAAUGAUAGGUAGAGACAAAAGUUCCAUUUUGAAGUGUAUUGAUUUUAAGAUACCAGAAAGAUAUUCUGGGGGUAGAGUCUGAGCAGAAGACACGGUUUUGGAGAACAACCUUUUUGAGUGGUUGAGGUUUACCCGACAGAACUGGUUAAGUACAGGUCAGAAUUUUAGAAUUACAGUAGUAUCCACCCUACUGAAAAACGAACAGGGUAGCAGCUGAACCAAGUUCAGGGUGCUGCCAAGGUUAGGGUUCUCACUGGCAACAGAGUUUCUCAAGAGGAGACUCUAAGAAUCCUUCAGGAGAGGUAUUUUAGUGGCAUAGCAAAAGUUUUAAGCAUUUCUCACAGGGGCACAUCUGCACCGAAAUCGUCCUGCAAUUGGUUAACAAAUGCCAACUACCGGAUAUCAACAGUAAAGAAGGAAAAGACUGAGACUGCACUUCUCUAGACUCCCCAGGAAAUUCUCCAUACACUAACACUGUGGGUAAAAGAAGGAAAGAGAGGAAGUGGAAGUUGCAUUUUGAAUCCUCUAUUGGCUCAGGGAAGGGGCAGGAAUAUAAGAGAUGGUCCUUAGAGGCUGGUGGAAGGUCAAAAAAGAUACUUGAGGUAAACAGGUUAAGGGGAUCAUGACUACAGAUGGAGUAGCCUUAGGAAGACUACCCUUCCUCUGAGUCUGCAUGAAAGUCUUGAGAAAACCCCUUGAAAGGGCCUGAAAUCCCAGCACAGUUCUUUGAGUGAUGGUGCCAGGUUACACUCAUCCUUCCUUUCUAGUAAGAUGGAUGUGUACCGAUAGGGAAAUGAAUACCAUCAGCAAGUUUUGUUUGAAGCUUGAUUUCAUGUAUCUCCCUCCUUAGUUAGUAUGUAUCCCAAAGUAAAGCUACAGAAAUUGUCAUUGGAUUUUAUCACACAAUUAAGCAGAGCCCAGUAAAGUUGUAUAGGGUAGGAAAUCCAAUUCAUUGGCCAAAGCUACCAGGCUCCAGAAAAGUUUGGUCACAGGCCGUGUCUUUACUGUAUGCUUGAGAUAUUCUAUAAUGAUGGUAGUAGGAGAAACUGUGUAUUUCAUCUGGAAAACCAAUUAGUUUUCGGUUUUUUAUUUCCUCCAGAGUUUCCUGGUGAUCUGGGAGAAACAGUACUUUAUAACCUAACAUCUGGGAUAGAGGGAGUAACCACUGUAGUCAAAAUUUCUAUUUGUUCCCUCUUGCUUAAGAUACUGUUCAGUGAAAAUUUUGUAGACAGUAGUGGAAAGGAGGCAAUGAGAAAAGAAGUGGUAAUAUGCCCAGGACAAACAGAUAUUGAAAGUGAGAGCAAGUAGUCUGGACAACCAAUGAACUUUUCUCUUAGAAUAUUUUCAAGGGUAGGUUUAUUUUCAACUGUUUGUUAAAAGUCUAUUUGAUAUGAAUUCUAUACCUGGUGAUCUGUACUCAAUGACCAUUCAAAAACUUCACAUAGAUGUGAUUACAAUUGGAUAACUUCAAUACUAUAGUGAUAAUAAAACUUGAGAACUGAAGAACACAAAUUUCUUCACGAAUUUAUUAUACAAAAAGCCACCAGAGUAUUUGAUUUCUCGUAUUCUCACUUUCAUUAUACACAAGAAGCACAGGAAUGAGAGGCCUCUUAAGGUGACUGUAGUAGCAUGAGGGUCCCUUGAAUCAAGGUAGUGUAUAUAUUUUUAACAGUGUUCUCAAGGCUGGCCCAGAAAAACCCCAUGUUACCUUACCACAAUACGGAAAGCAAUGUUUUCUUUUUCCACUAAAUUAUGGUGGAAAAUGUCACUGUUUUAUUUAGCAUUAUGGUACAUAACAGUUAAGUCUCAAAUACUAAAAGAACUAAAAUAAUUCUGAAAGACAUCCUCUUUCCCCUUCUGAUGAUUGAAAGCUGUAUUUUUCCUGCCAAUUUCAAACAAAUCAUUAAACUAAUGUCAUGGUCAGUUAAAACAAUCGAGGUACAAGCUCAGCACAUUAGCUGUAACUUGUAGUAAAAGGAUAUAUCAAUAUGUCUCUCCUCAGUUAAAAAUACAUAAUCCUUUUAUUUUAUAUUGCAGUAAAAGAAACAAACAUCACAGACACAGAAGACUAGACAGGGGAAACUACUUGCUUCUGAAUGUCUAGUAAUUUAAAUCUACCUGUACUUUUCCACAGUACGUGAAAGUAGUAUUUAACACUUUUUGAAAUAAACGUUAAUCUUUGGGGACAGACAAUGUAAAUAGGACUUAAGAGUAACAGUUCCAUUCAUUUCCAAGUCUCUGCUUACUGUAUGAUUAAGUAAAACAAGGCACAAUAGCCAUUCUUUCCACUAUGUUCCAACACUGAUCAUGUGCCUUGAUAAAAUGGCUGACUGGAUAAGAUGAUGGCGACAAGAAGGGAAGACUUUGGAUUGUCUAUUUAAAAUGUGGUUAAUAAGCAAAGAAUAAAAAAUUUAAGUGCACUUUCACAUGCUUUACGCUUAUAAUAAACAACAAACUUAUCUUUCUUGC